GUGGUCCCCUCCAACUCUACAAUUCUAUCUUUCUAGGAUGUUAAGUGCCUUUCCAGGAGCUCUCUGCGCAGGGACAAACUGGUACCUUGAACAUAGAUCUGGGGCCAGGGAGCAGGAUGGGGCUGGGGUGUGCUUUUUUGCACCUGCACAGAGCGCAGGAAGAAAAGGAAAGGAAAAGAGACGUGGCCAGCCUGCCUCCUUAGGACUCCAGAGACGCGGGUCUGCCGGAGGGAGGCGGCUGAAUUUUUGGCAAGAUGGAACUGGCUCCUUCUCCUCCUGCACCACCAUCACUGCUUUUCACUCUCGCUGAUGACACCGUCACCCAACUGUUAUCCAACCCUUUUUGGCACCGGAUUGAAGAGGCAGAAGUCAACGGGCGAAGUUUUCUACUGCCGCUACAUAUGCGUCUUCGGAAAGCUGCACCUGUUGCACGUCUGCCUGCGAGGCACUCAUAGAAUAGACGCCCGCCCAUCAGAAGCAGAGCGUGAGUUUUGGUACCAAGACCGGAGCUCUGCUGGCCAAAAGACAUCCCCAGCCUGCCGCCCGCCAACCAAGGACCCCCGACGUACCCCACGGAUAUCCCAGUAGCCCAGCGUCACCCCCAUCUUCGUCCGGCGUCGCUGGCUGCUGUUGCUCGGCUCAGGUAGAAGCAGGAACCCCGCUUUCGUGGAAACGCUGAGCGCCGCUUUCAAACUUGCCCGGCGAGUUUCCGGGAGAAA